GAGGGGCUUUGGUGUAGCAAUACAUCGGAGCUCCGAGUGGCGCACGGGUGAGUAACACGUGGGCAACCUGCCCUUGAGACUGGGAUACCCCCUCGAAAGGGGGGCUAAUACCGGAUACGCUCCUCGGAUCGCGAGAUCUAGGGAGGAAAGGCGGCGAAAGCUGCUGCUCUUGGAGGGGCUCGCGGCCUAUCAGCUAGUUGGUGAGGUCACGGCUCACCAAGGCGAUGACGGGUAGCUGGUCUGAGAGGACGACCAGCCACACGGGGACUGAGACACGGCCCCGACUCCUACGGGAGGCAGCAGUGGGGAAUUUUCCGCAAUGGGCGAAAGCCUGACGGAGUGACGCCGCGUGGGGGACGAAGGCCUUCGGGUCGUAAACCCCUGUCAGAGGGAAAGAAGGGUCAUGCGGUGAAUAGCCGUGUGACUUGACGGUACCUUCAGAGGAAGCCCCGGCCAACUCUGUGCCAGCAGCCGCGGUAAGACAGAGGGGGCAAGCGUUGCUCGGAAUCAUUGGGCGUAAAGCGCACGUAGGCGGUCCUGUAAGUCGGGUGUGAAAUCCCUCGGCUUAACCAAGGAAGUGCAUUCGAAACUACAGGACUUGAGUACUGGAGAGGGUUGCGGAAUUCUCGGUGUAGAGGUGAAAUUCGUAGAUAUCGGGAGGAACACCAGUGGCGAA
rnacentral:rRNA from 1 species